ACAGGCUUAACACAUGCAAGUCGAGGGGAAACGACAUCGAAAGCUUGCUUUUGAUGGGCGUCGACCGGCGCACGGGUGAGUAACGCGUAUCCAACCUGCCCACCACUUGGGGAUAACCUUGCGAAAGUAAGACUAAUACCCAAUGAUAUCUCUAGAAGACAUCUGAAAGAGAUUAAAGAUUUAUCGGUGAUGGAUGGGGAUGCGUCUGAUUAGCUUGUUGGCGGGGUAACGGCCCACCAAGGCAACGAUCAGUAGGGGUUCUGAGAGGAAGGUCCCCCACAUUGGAACUGAGACACGGUCCAAACUCCUACGGGAGGCAGCAGUGAGGAAUAUUGGUCAAUGGACGAGAGUCUGAACCAGCCAAGUAGCGUGCAGGAUGACGGCCCUAUGGGUUGUAAACUGCUUUUAUAAGGGAAUAAAGUGAGUCUCGUGAGACUUUUUGCAUGUACCUUAUGAAUAAGGACCGGCUAAUUCCGUGCCAGCAGCCGCGGUAAUACGGAAGGUCCGGGCGUUAUCCGGAUUUAUUGGGUUUAAAGGGAGCGUAGGCCGGAGAUUAAGCGUGUUGUGAAAUGUAGAUGCUCAACAUCUGCACUGCAGCGCGAACUGGUUUCCUUGAGUACGCACAAAGUGGGCGGAAUUCGUGGUGUAGCGGUGAAAUGCUUAGAUAUCACGAAGAACUCCGAUUGCGAAGGCAGCUCACUGGAGCGCAACUGACGCUGAAGCUCGAAAGUGCGGGUAUCGAACAGGAUUAGAUACCCUGGUAGUCCGCACGGUAAACGAUGGAUGCCCGCUGUUGGUCUGAAUAGGUCAGCGGCC
rnacentral:rRNA from 1 species